UUUUUUUUUUUUUUUGUCCCUUUCAUUUAAAUUGUCCUUGUUAAAUCUAUAUACUGCUCAACUUCUUAGUUUGAAAUGAAAUACUUUGCAUUUGUAUUUUAUUAGAAGGUAAAUGUUGCAUUUUCCUGAUAAUCAUUGACUUGUGUUUUAGGAGGCUUAAAUCAGAUAGUGCUGUGUGACUGGUUGCUGUGCACAUAUCACUAUGCAUUCUGAAAUUUGAACUCAUCAAGUAUAAUAUAUAAAAUACUUCUGAUGAAUUACAAAACCCAAAUAGGAAUACUAAUGGCAUUCUGAUGCAGUAAAUGAGAACUUUAAUAAGAUACAUUUUGAACAUGCACCUAUGUCAAGGGUAGAGAAUGGUUCUCAUAUGCAAAUACAAUCAGCAGUAAGAUAUACUGAAAUAGAAAUAUAAUUAAGAUAUAUGUGUAGUGUUGCCGUGAAGUGAUUUGGUAAUGGAGAUGACAGCUUAAAAGUUUAAAAUAAUAAUAAAUUCUUGACCAUGUAAAGGAAAUGCUUCCUAACAAGGUUGUUAAGUGUUAAGUUAAUCCUCAGAGGUGCGCCAGUUCUUGUUAGUUAUGUUGGGUAUUAGUUUCUGGGAGAGGUGGCUGUAUUAAAUAGCUAGGUUGGAACCGGAAUAUGUGUACCUAAGCAUUAGUUUUGAAGUGUACAGUGUACAGACAUACUUGAAAGUGUCUUGAAAACUCUUAAAGGACUAUAUUAAUUUAAGUACUAAGAGUGGUGGUAGUGUGUGUGUGCAGGCCUGUCUGUCUGUAUUUGCAUGUAUGUGCUCACACAUGAAGUCAGCUUUCCCUUCUAGUUUGUACAUCCUGGGGAUAGAACUCAGGUUGUCAGGCUUAGCAGCAAGCUCAUUUAGCCACUGAGACAUCACUCUAUCCCUGAUGGAGUUUUAUAUUCAGAAUUUAUACUGGCAUUUGAGAAAGAUAUGCUCUUUUUUUCCAUUUUCUUUCCUUUUGUAUACUUAUGAGCUAUAUGCUGUCUUUGAAUUGGUAGCAGUGCUGUCCCCUUAGUAGAGGACAUGCGAGACUUAGGUGUGAGAAUAUCUUACAGAUUUACAAGAAAAUUCCAGAUUUUCUUGAAAACUAUCACCAGCGAUUUUAUAUAAAGAUAAUGAUUGAGAUUUGAUUUGAUGUUCUUGAUGUCCUCCUAGCCCCAAGGUGGGCACAGAUGGAAGCUCCUCUUUAUGUACAACACAGAAAUCUACAGUAGAGAAUCACAAAC
rnacentral:lncRNA from 1 species